UGUACCCACUCUGUGAGGUGGAGCUGUCAUUCUUCUUAACUGACAAAGAGAAUUGAUGAGGUCCGGUAACACCCUGGAUUGGCAUGUGCAAGAGCCAGACUUUGUGGGAAGCUAUCGCAGCAUCUCCCUUCCAGGGGAAGGACUGAGAGCUGGAAGUGUCUGUGAGAGAUGACAUGUGUCAGUCUGAUCACUGAGUAGCAGUUGCCAGAGUCUCAAAUCUAGACGUCUUACUUCACGUGCUCAGAAGUCCUAGGACAGGAGUUGGGAACUGACCUGGUUUUCAUUCUUCCACCUUUCUGCCCAUCUAGGGGACACUGGCAAGGAUGCAGUGAAUUGCACCUACAAGGAUGAGGAUGACUGUGUGGUCAGAUUCCAGUACUACGAAGGCUCCAGUGGCAAGUCCAUCCUGUGUGUGGUAGAAGAGCCAGAACCAGAACCAACGACAGGGAAUCCCAAAGCGGAAUUCCUGAAGAUACUGCAGGCCCGGGAGAGGAACAGCAAUGGAAUUAAUUAUUAAUUCAGAGGUGGAAAAAUCAGAGAAACAUAAGCUUGAUCUUCUAGACUCUAUGAAUGAGCAGCUAGACUUGAAUGCAAAAGGUGUUGUUAUCAGUUUGCUAAAUUACAUACCGCGUUAUUUCUCAGCCAGCGAUCUAGAAGACGUAGAGUCAGUGUUACUACCCUUCAUUAAAUUGCUCUUUUCCAGUCCACAAGAAGAAGAUAGAUCUGUGGAUCACUUGAAAAACAAUCCACAAGACUUCUCUGUAAAACU